AUCCUGGCUCAGGAUGAACGCUGGCGGCGUGCUUAACACAUGCAAGUCGAACGGGAAUGUUUCGCUGAUGCGAUUUCGGUCAAAUCUUGAAGCAUUUUAGUGGCGGACGGGUGAGUAACGCGUGGGUAACCUGCCCUGGUACAGGGGGACAACAGUUGGAAACGACUGCUAAUACCGCAUAAGCGCACAGCUUCGCAUGAAGCAGUGUGAAAAACUCCGGUGGUACAGGAUGGACCCGCGUCUGAUUAGAUAGUUGGUGAGGUAACGGCCCACCAAGUCAACGAUCAGUAGCCGGCCUGAGAGGGCGAACGGCCACAUUGGGACUGAGACACGGCCCAAACUCCUACGGGAGGCAGCAGUGGGGAAUAUUGCACAAUGGGGGAAACCCUGAUGCAGCGACGCCGCGUGAGUGAAGAAGUAUUUCGGUAUGUAAAGCUCUAUCAGCAGGGAAGAAAGACAUGACGGUACCUGACUAAGAAGCCCCGGCUAACUACGUG
rnacentral:rRNA from 1 species